rnacentral:tRNA from 1 species
GCCUUCGUGGUGUAGUGGUCAGCGCACUCAAAGCGUAUUCGAGAGGUCCGUGGUUCAAGUCCCGGUGAAGGUA